rnacentral:rRNA from 1 species
AGCCUGAUGCAGCGACGCCGCGUGAGGGAUGGAGGCCUUCGGGUUGUAAACCUCUUUCGCCAGUGAAGCAGGCCUGCUCCUUGUGGGUGGGUUGACGGUAGCUGGAUAAGAAGCGCCGGCUAACUACGUGCCAGCAGCCGCGGUAAUACGUAGGGCGCGAGCGUUGUCCGGAAUUAUUGGGCGUAAAGAGCUCGUAGGCGGCUGGUCGCGUCUGUCGUGAAAUCCUCUGGCUUAACUGGGGGCUUGCGGUGGGUACGGGCCGGCUCGAGUGCGGUAGGGGAGACUGGAACUCCUGGUGUAGCGGUGGAAUGCGCAGAUAUCAGGAAGAACACCGGUGGCGAAGGCGGGUCUCUGGGCCGUUACUGACGCUGAGGAGCGAAAGCGUGGGGAGCGAACAGGAUUAGAUACCCUGGUAGUCCACGCCGUAAACGUUGGGCACUAGGUGUGGGGGGCCUUUUCCGGGUCUUCCGCGCCGUAGCUAACGCAUUAAGUGCCCCGCCUGGGGAGUACGGCCGCAAGGCUAAAACUCAAAGGAAUUGACGGGGGCCCGCACAAGCGGCGGAGCAUGCGGAUUAAUUCGAUGCAACGCGAAGAACCUUACCAAGGCUUGACAUGUGCCGGUCGGCUCCGGAGACGGGGUUUCCUCCUUGUGGGGCCGGUUCACAGGUGGUGCAUGGUUGUCGUCAGCUCGUGUCGUGAGAUGUUGGGGUUAAGUCCGCAACGAGCG